AAGCCUCUCUCACCAUGGACUGGGCUCCCUUCUACCUCCUGCCCUUGGUUUUCUCCACAGGUCUCUGUGCUGAUCCUGUGCUGACCCAGCCCCCGUCUGCUUCUGCCUCCCUGGGAGCCUCAGCCAAGCUCACCUGCACCCUCAGCAGAGAGUACAGUGACUACCCUGUUACAUGGCAGCAGCAGCAGGCAGGGAAGGCCCCUCGGUAUGUGAUGUAUGUUGGUGGUGAUGGAAUCCACAGCAAGGGGGACGGGAUCCCCGACCGCUUCUCAGGCUCCAGCUCUGGGGCCGACCGCUACUUGACCAUCUCCAACCUCCAAUCUGAGGACGAGGCUGACUAUUACUGUGUAACAUGGGACAGAAAUGGUAACGCUCACAGUGACACAGGCCAAUGGGGAAGAUAA